rnacentral:rRNA from 1 species
AGAGUUUGAUCAUGGCUCAGGACGAACGCUGGCGGCGUGCUUAACACAUGCAAGUCGAACGAUGAAGCCGGAGCUUGCUCUGGUGGACUAGUGGCGAACGGGUGAGUAACACGUGAGUAACCUGCCCUUGACUCUGGGAUAAGCGUUGGAAACGACGUCUAAUACCGGAUACGAGCUGGGACCGCAUGGUCACCAGCUGGAAAGAACUUCGGUCAAGGAUGGACUCGCGGCCUAUCAGUUAGUUGGUGAGGUAACGGCUCACCAAGACGACGACGGGUAGCCGGCCUGAGAGGGUGACCGGCCACACUGGGACUGAGACACGGCCCAGACUCCUACGGGAGGCAGCAGUGGGGAAUAUUGCACAAUGGGCGCAAGCCUGAUGCAGCAACGCCGCGUGAGGGACGACGGCCUUCGGGUUGUAAACCUCUUUUAGCAGGGAAGAAGCGAAAGUGACGGUACCUGCAGAAAAAGCACCGGCUAACUACGUGCCAGCAGCCGCGGUAAUACGUAGGGCGCAAGCGUUGUCCGGAAUUAUUGGGCGUAAAGAGCUCGUAGGCGGUUUGUCGCGUCUGCUGUGAAAACCCGAGGCUCAACCUCGGGCCUGCAGUGGGUACGGGCAGACUAGAGUGCGGUAGGGGAGAUUGGAAUUCCUGGUGUAGCGGUGGAAUGCGCAGAUAUCAGGAGGAACACCGAUGGCGAAGGCAGAUCUCUGGGCCGUAACUGACGCUGAGGAGCGAAAGCGUGGGGAGCGAACAGGAUUAGAUACCCCGGUAGUCC